rnacentral:SRP_RNA from 1 species
UGUCGGUCCCCUCGCAAUGAUUAGCUGCGAACCCCGCCAGGCCCGGAAGGGAGCAACGGUAGCAGUGAGUUCAUGUGCCGGGGUGUGGCUGGCUUGA